rnacentral:tmRNA from 1 species
GGGGACGAAAGGAUUUCGACGGGGAUUUUGAAGCAUGAUAAGCGGGUAGCGCUGUGGCAAUCGCUUUAAAAGGUCACACAUUUAAAAUUAACUGACAAUAAUACAGUUUUAAAGGCUGCCUAAUGCGGCCCGUCUUGGUUAAGAGUACUGCGGCUUAACUAAAGGCGUCGACUAGCAGUGAACGUGUACGGCAGAGCAUCCUCGUAUGCCGUCACGCAUCAGAGGAUACUGAGCAUAUAAGCCUGUCAAUCGGCGUGUGUGCGAGGGAAUGUCAAAAGACUGACUGCACCCGGAGAAAGUUGUGUGGACGAGUUUUCGGACGCGGUUUCGAUUACCGCCGUCUCCACCA